GGACAAUUAGCUCAGCUGGUUAGAGUACUUGGUUUACACCCAAGGUGUCGGGGGUUCGAAUCCCUCAUUGUCCA
rnacentral:tRNA from 1 species